GUCUACGGCCACACUACCCUGAACAAGCUCAGUCCCGUCUGAUCUCGGAAGCUAAGCAGGGUCAGACCUGGUUAGUACUUGGAUGGGAGAACACCUAGGAAGACCAGGUGCUGUAGGAG
ensembl:rRNA 5S_rRNA 5S ribosomal RNA